rnacentral:rRNA from 1 species
UACAGAGGGUGCGAGCGUUAAUCGGAAUUACUGGGCGUAAAGCGUGCGUAGACGGUUAUUUAAGUCGGGUGUGAAAGCCCCGGGCUCAACCUGGGAAUUGCAUUCGAGACUGAAUAGCUAGGGUGCGGUAGAGGGAAGUGGAAUUUCCGGUGUAGCGGUGAAAUGCGUAGAUAUCGGAAGGAACAUCAGUGGCGAAGGCGACUUCCUGGACCAAUACUGACACUCAGGUGCGAAAGCGUGGGGAGCAAACAGG